CCCACAUUCUCCUGUGGUGCAGCCUCAUGAAGGUCACUCAGCAUUGGGCCUAACCCCAUCUGAGCUUCCGUGACCUGGGAUGAGGGUCCUGCUAGGGGGCGACCCUCUCGCGCAGCCCGCAAAGAGCCCCUGAUCCCGAGCUUUUGAAAAGUUGCAGACCAGCCAGAAGGACCUAGGGGGUAGAGGGGUUGUUUUGCUCCCCUACAGUUUGGCGACUUGGACGGGAUAAAACUUCACUGGCUGGACGCUGCUGGCUCCUGGACCACUGCAGCUGAGAGAUCCUGGACCCCUAACAAGAGCCAGCAGGAGGUAAAAUUUCUUACCAUGUCAGUUUCCCAGAUCUCUACCUGCAGGGUCCAGUGGAAGUGAGAAUGGUGAGUUUCUUCCUUUUCUACAUUUAGAUUAGCUGGAGAAAGUGUUGGUGAAGCUAGCUUCUUGCACUCAGCAAGUCUGGGAAAUUUGGUUUGAGUACUCAUUGGUUUAUUGAUCCUUCUCCUCCCAGAGAUGGUCACUAUUUUUCCUUGUCGCUGUCCUUUGUGUCAUUUGUCAUAAAAAGGGAAAACCAUAGGGCAAGACACAGACACAUCUAUAAGCCUGUUGUCUGGGAAUAUGUGCAUGACGUGAAAGCUGCUGCCAAGGGCGUCUUGGAAGUCAAAAAGGCCGCAAAUUUGGUGGGCACGAGUUGACUCGUUAAGAGUCAUUAGGGCGCUUGCCACCUCAAAAGACUCCCAGGAUAGGAUAAGUUGGUCCUGGAAUAGGAUAGAUGACACAGGUCCCCCACCAACAUCAAGAAAAUGUCCAUGCAACAAGAUACUCUAAAGCACACACAAUCCCCAACCCCGUGGCACCUCUCUUCUAGGUAUUGAUCUGGUGCCAAGAGACCCAAAGCUCAGCUAAAGCUGUUAAUGUGCAUGUAAGCUGCAGUACCUAGUUGUGUAUCAUAGCUGUGGAGUUGUAGCUCUUCUAUGUGGGACACCACCUCAGCUUGUGGGCUUGAUGAGCACUAACUAUAACUUAUAACAAUUGGAUAAAUUAUACUUUCAUAAGGGGAAUUGAAGCAUUUAUAUUUUUCUCCCUACCUAAUCCCUCCAGGAUUUGAAAACUCUUGGUGAGUAAAUAUUCUUAUUUUCAUGGCAAUAUAGCUGUUUUUACGUAAGUUCAAUAAGAAUUUGUUCUCCUUAUAACAGGACAAAAUUGAAAAUGUUGGUUAUAUUACCAAAGCUUUGACUGGAAUCUCAUAUUUGAGAGAAACAUACAUAUACCUGGAUAUAACUGAGCUUUAAGAAACAAGGAUUGGACUUUAGGGAAUAAAGCCGCUUGGAAAUAUUGGACUGGUAUUUUGCUUACAGGGUUCCCAGCAAGCUUUCCAAGUGGGUAAAGAAGGUCACUUCCCUGGCAGGUACAAGGAACCUCAGGAUGUUUUGGGGGAACCUCAAGAGAAGAGAGGAAUUCACCCAAAUCUAUAGGUAUUACAGGCAGAGUCUGAUGACAAGUCCUUGUUCUGGCUUUCCUGGCCUCCAGAGGCCUUUACAAUUCAAUCUGAGAUUCCUUAUAAAAAGUCCCAGCAAAGCAAAUUUAAAAGAGCCUAUAUAAUCAGUUGCUAUUCUUGCUGUACUUAUGUCAAUAAUUGGGCUAAGUUUAUUGAAACAAGACUUAUUUUACAAACCAGUUAGUCUUAAUUUGGCUAUCUUUGAUAAAAAUGAAAGUGAUUUUAGAGAGAAAAAUUAUGUCUCAGUGGAAACUAU